rnacentral:tRNA from 1 species
GGGGAUUUAGCUUAGUGGUAGAGCGUUUGCCUAGCAAGCGCAAGGCCCUGGGUUCGGUCCCCAGCUCCA